GAUGAACGCUGGCGGCGUGCCUAAUACAUGCAAGUCGAACGAGUUCUCGUUGAUGAUCGGUGCUUGCACCGAGAUUCAACAUGGAACGAGUGGCGGACGGGUGAGUAACACGUGGGUAACCUGCCCUAAAGUGGGGGAUAACAUUUGGAAACAGAUGCUAAUACCGCAUAGAUCCAAGAACCGCAUGGUUCUUGGCUGAAAGAUGGCGUAAGCUAUCGCUUUUGGAUGGACCCGCGGCGUAUUAGCUAGUUGGUGAGGUAAUGGCUCACCAAGGCGAUGAUACGUAGCCGAACUGAGAGGUUGAUCGGCCACAUUGGGACUGAGACACGGCCCAAACUCCUACGGGAGGCAGCAGUAGGGAAUCUUCCACAAUGGACGCAAGUCUGAUGGAGCAACGCCGCGUGAGUGAAGAAGGCUUUCGGGUCGUAAAACUCUGUUGUUGGAGAAGAAUGGUCGGCAGAGUAACUGUUGUCGGCGUGACGGUAUCCAACCAGAAAGCCACGGCUAACUACGUGCCAGCAGCCGCGGUAAUACGUAGGUGGCAAGCGUUAUCCGGAUUUAUUGGGCGUAAAGCGAGCGCAGGCGGUUUUUUAAGUCUGAUGUGAAAGCCCUCGGCUUAACCGAGGAAGCGCAUCGGAAACUGGGAAACUUGAGUGCAGAAGAGGACAGUGGAACUCCAUGUGUAGUGAAAUGCGUAGAUAUAUGGAAGAACACCAGUGGCGAAGGCGGCUGUCUGGUCUGUAACUGACGCUGAGGCUCGAAAGCAUGGGUAGCGAACAGGAUUAGAUACCCUGGUAGUCCAUGCCGUAAACGAUGAAUGCUAGGUGUUGGAGGGUUUCCGCCCUUCAGUGCCGCAGCUAACGCAUUAAGCAUUCCGCCUGGGGAGUACGACCGCAAGGUUGAAACUCAAAGGAAUUGACGGGGGCCCGCACAAGCGGUGGAGCAUGUGGUUUAAUUCGAAGCAACGCGAAGAACCUUACCAGGUCUUGACAUCUUUUGAUCACCUGAGAGAUCAGGUUUCCCCUUCGGGGGCAAAAUGACAGGUGGUGCAUGGUUGUCGUCAGCUCGUGUCGUGAGAUGUUGGGUUAAGUCCCGCAACGAGCGCAACCCUUAUGUCUAGUUGCCAGCAUUUAGUUGGGCACUCUAGUAAGACUGCCGGUGACAAACCGGAGGAAGGUGGGGAUGACGUCAAAUCAUCAUGCCCCUUAUGACCUGGGCUACACACGUGCUACAAUGGAUGGUACAACGAGUCGCGAGACCGCGAGGUCAAGCUAAUCUCUUAAAGCCAUUCUCAGUUCGGACUGUAGGCUGCAACUCGCCUACACGAAGUCGGAAUCGCUAGUAAUCGCGGAUCAGCACGCCGCGGUGAAUACGUUCCCGGGCCUUGUACACACCGCCCGUCACACCAUGAGAGUUUGUAACACCCGAAGCCGGUGGCGUAACCCUUUUAGGGAGCGAGCCGUCUAAGGUGGGACAAAUGAUUAGGGUGAAGUCGUAACAAGGUAGCCGUAG
rnacentral:rRNA from 1 species